UCUCCAAGCCCCUCAACCCCCACAUCCCACACAAGGGUAUGGUCUUCUGGCCUCUCCCGAGGCCGGGCAGAGCUGCGGUAUGAUGGUGUGCAUAGCACGCGUGGCAUUGCCUCACCACCUAGCCAACAAGCUGUUUCCCCCAGAGACGCAGGGCUCUGGCCCUUUAAAUGCCUUGAGCCCCAAGGGUGGAGCUGGCAGAGCUGGACUCUGAAGGACAGCCAGGCCUCCUUUAGCCCCAGCUGCCUCAACUAGAGCCCCAGGAAAACAGCUGGAACCAUCCAUCUCCUUGGCAGACCUUGCCUAGCUGUCCUUGCCGUCAUCUCCUCCCCCCAGCUCUCUGCAGGUCAAUCAGCAGAAAAUGCUUCCCAGUCUGAUUCUCCGUCAAGGAGAAAACUCCUGACCCUCUAAGCCUCCCUGGGGUGCCUGGAGAAUGCAGCGAAGCUUCUCAGGGAGCAAUGUGCUGCAAGAAGGCAGAACUCACAGCCCUGCUUUACCGACCGGGAAGCUGAGACUUAGAGACGUGGAAGUGAAUUGUUGGAAGCCACACCACUAGGAAGUGGCUCCUGUGGGACAAGAGUUGGGGAGAGGCAACAGGAAGCAGCCUGGAAAAUGUUAUGGAACUGUCUCAGAGAGCCCCUCUCCUUGACCUUGGAUGACUCUGGAUGUCCCCUAUCAGCUGUUGCCAAGAAGACUUGGAGACUGCUUUGGGUAUUCAGCCUUCUGAGUCCCUCGGCCCUCUACUUUAUCCCUCUCUGGCUCCUUCUAGACACAGAAGCCCCGAGGAAGGGAAAUCCAGACCCACCCUGGCUUGUGGAUCCUAUCUGGCCGACUCUCACUGUGGAUCCUAAGUACCCCUAAAACCUGUCCCCGGCCAUCCUCCUGGCAUCUUUGCUUGGCAUACUGGCCCCGUCCUGCCCUUGACCACGGCCCUCCCCCUCGCCCUCCCCCGACAAUGAGUUCUGACUGCCUCUCAGACCAUCCACUCUAAAGACACGGGGCUUGUUUUCCUGUUUGGGGGUUUAUUUCUCCCUGUUGGCAGCUGGAGGCCGGCUCAUCCUCUCCCGGCCUCAGGUGCUCCUCCGGAGUUCCCAGGCUGCCGUCACACUUUUCUCUGACGUAGCUCCUUCUGCAGUGCAAGUGUGCACUAAACCCAAGAUUAAGUCGUGCUUACCUGGGCGGAAGGGCCAUCCCACCAUAAAUGUUUGCCAUCAGCGCCUUCAGCGUAUUAGUGAGAGCUAAUAAAAUGCUGGGGCCCAAACCAAGGCCUUUCUGUGUAUUAUCUCAGUGUAUGUUCGCCACAUCCUCAAGCGAGAUUCUCAUAUUAUUGCUAUUUUAUGGAUGAAGAAACAGAGGCAAAAAUGUUGAGGCAUGUGCUCAAGCUCGCUAAGCUAGAGAGCCCUGGUGCAUCGGGUGCCAACGGCUUGCCCUUGUGAUUAGGUCACUGCACAGUCUUGCCUCUCGUCGUGGUCUUCAUCACCAUCCCGAGGCCUCAGUGAGGUCCUUUGCCUGAGCUCAGCCUCAGAACUGGAUUCUUCCCAGAGCAAAUGUCAGGCCGGGGCCGAGGCUCGUGCCCAGAAAAACCGAGGUGGGAAGAAGAUGGUAAUCCCAGAAGGAAUUUUGCUGCAGCAGGAAGAACUAAGGGUAAAGAUGCGAAAUGAAUGAGGAUGAGUCUUGCUCUGCCUCUUGGUAUCUGAGUGAGCCCGGCCAAGUCUUUAACUUCUUUGAGCCUCAGUUUCCUCAUCUGUGACAUGGGGAUAGGCAACAGGGGCUACCUUUCAGAGCCAUGACGAGAACAAAUGAGGACAUGUGCAAGGCAAGAUCCUAUCAACUGCAGAGGGCUGCUGGGAGUGACUGUUAGCACCAAUCAUCACUCAAUAUUUGUUUUGAAUCGCUGGGACAGAAGGCAGUGCCUGUGGCGACAUCCAGGAGCCCCCGGGCCUGGAUCUGUCUCUGAGACAACAAAUGACGAGUCAAACAGGUGUAUGGUCAAAUUGCCAUCCUCUGCCUUCCAUUAACCUUUUGUGAUCUUUCUGCAGCUAUGGCUAGGGCCCCGGCCAUCUCUCUCACCUCUGUAAAAUGAGGGGCUCUAGCCAGUCAGUCUGGAUAGCUCCCCAAUUUUAACAUCCCAGGAGUGGAAUGGAAGGUGAAUCCUUGUGACAUCUGCCAAAGCAUCAUGGCUUCCAGAAAGGAUCUCCACCCUUCAUUCAAUGGAUAAUAACUCUUGGUGCCUCCUCGUGUGUGUAUGUCGGGUCUCACUGCUGCCCCCUUCAUUCAGGAAGUCAUUUAAGAUACCUUCGGUUAACUUUUUAUUUUAAAUUUCAAAAGUAAGCCAUGGAUGCAUUCUUUUGUCUAUUUAUUAUUUAUUUUUUUUAAUUAAAUAAGCUCUAUACCCAACGUGGGGCUCAAACUCAAGACCCCGAGAUCAAGAGUUGCACGCUCUAGUGGCUGAGCCAGCCAGGCGGCCUGGAUGCAUUCCUGUUGUAAGAAAUAACCAUGAAGCACCCUUUCAGAUUCCAGAACCCUCCCCAGAGAUCACUACUGUGGUCAGUUUACUAGGUAUCCUUCUAGACAAUUUCCUAUGAGUUUACAUGUAUAUGUAAAUAUUAUACAUGAGAAAACAUACA